rnacentral:tRNA from 1 species
GGGCGGUUAGCUCAGUUGGUUAGAGCGUCUCAGUGACAUUGAGGAGGUCGCAGGUUCAAGUCCUGCACCGCCCACAA